GUGAUCGUCUGUUUCUCUGAAACAUUGCGUUAUUCACCCCUGAUCUGGCUCGUCAUCUGUUUUGAUCAUCCUCCUUUGCUUCACAGCCACCAUCUUCUGUGAAGUCAGACUAACAGUAUGUAUGUAGCUGUCUAAAUAAUGACCUUGUUCAUCCCUGAUAUGGCUGGUCGUCUGUUUUUGCUCAUCCUCCUUUUCGAUACCUUCCAGUACCUCAAAGCCAAAGAUCUUCCUCAGCCCAGUCUGACAGUGAUUCCUGCAGUCAUCAAAGAGAGAGACUCAGUUCAGCUGAACUGUCAGACUCCAUCUGUCUCUGAGUGUUACUUCAAAAUGGAAGGGCAAGUGGAAUUCACCCUACCAUCACCCUGUCAACAUGAACUCACAGGAACACUACUGGUGAGGUGGACAGGUCAGAGUUCACCAGCUGAGGUCAAAAUACAAUGUCAGUACAGUGCUACAGGUUCACAGUUUAGAUCCAUGUUCAGUGAGCCUUCAACAGUCACAAUUCAGGACCUUCCUCAGCUGACAGUCAUCAGAGAGACAGAAUCAGUUCAGCUGAGUUGUGAGACUCCUCCAUCUCUCCCUGUGUCUCACUGUUACUUCUACAUAGAGGGGAGGAAGAAUCUUCCAGACUCAUUGUGUACGCAGACAAUAACAGGAACUCAGCUGCUGAAGAGGGCAGAUCAAACAUUUCCAGUUGUGGUCAAAGUGAAGUGUUACUAUGCUGUAGGGAAGUCUCACACAUCUCCGUUUAGUAACUCUGUCUCAGUCACUGUUCAGGACCCACCUCCUCCCAGGCUGACAGUCAGUUCUACAGUCAUCAGUGAGAGAGACUCAGUUCAGCUGAGCUGUGACUCUCCUCCAUCUGUCUCUGUGUCUCAGUGUUACUUCUACACAGAGGGGAGAGAUCCUAAACCCUCACCCUGUACGAAGUCACUCACGGGGACUGAGCUGCUCUCGUCGGCAGGUCAAAGUUCAUCUGCUGAGAUCAAACUGAGAUGUUUUUACACAGUAGAAACUCACUUUCCAUCGAUGCACAGUGGUUCUGUCUCUCUAUCUAUUCUUGUGGGUUUGACUCCAGGUCCUAGAUCUACUUUGCCUCCCAGCAAGACAGUGAGUCCUACAGAAGACACCACAGUGACACAAACUACCAGUUUGACCUCCCCUUUGACCCCUAGCACGGCAGUGAAUCCUUCAUCAGGGUCGACUGUUUGCUGUACUUUGACCACUGACACCCCAGCGAGUCCAACUGAAAGGGGUCAAAGCUCCACAGAAAGUGAUGUGGAAUCAAACAGUAAAGAAAGCAUUCUGUUGGGGCAAUUAUGGCAGGCAGCAGUGGCUUCUGGAGUGGGCGUGUUCCUGGUAGGAUUGACAGCUGUCUGUCUCUGCAGGAGGACCAAGAAAACCAAUUCUCAGAGACCUACAACCAGACAGGAUGAUCACAGCCAAUUGUUUCUGUUGUAGAUGAUUUGGUGUCUAUGGGAGCGGUGAGCAGCGAAGUCAUGGUGGAUUCAGGAGAUGCUAGAAUCGAUUCUCAGAUCACUUCUGUAUUGUUCACGUUCACGCCCUCAGGUCCUGUUGAUGUGGAUACACAGACAUUUGCAAAUGAACAUUCUGAUACGUACCACGUAUACAGCUCAAUCCCCGACAGACCAGCAACCUCAGCCCAGCAGGAUGGGUUGUACAGUCUUCUGCAGGGACACUGAAACUACACCUCUGGCUUUCUGUAGAUACGUCUCUCACAUCUCACACAAAUACAUUUUUUUAUCAUAUGAUAUCCUUUGUUUAUCACACAUCCAGUUACUGUAAAUAAGUUGCUUAACAGGUAAUAUAUCUACUGUAUUACACAUGGACCACUGGUUUCUGUUACAUAUCUAUCCAUAAUAUCUGUUACUGUGUUAAUAUUUUUAUUUGGGGUUUUUUGGAGGGGUCCGGGGCAUACUCUCCUUUGAGCAUUUUCUUAUUUCUUUUCCCUAGUAAAUGCUGAAUCUACUGUAUGUAUGUCUAUUAUGUUGACUGUUUGAUACCUCCUUCCAUAUUGAAAUUAAUUGUUGGAUACAAUUAAUUUCCUAUUGGGCAAAACAUAAUCCAAAACACAACCAAAACAAACUGCAAAUGCAUACAAACUCAACUUUGUUAAGUCACAAACUUGAUGCAUUUAUUGGGUGCAAAGAAUAUAGGACCAAAAUACAUAAUGUUUGACUAUGUAAUACAAUAUAAAUGAAUUUGUCCAAAUAACUUCUUGAAUUGGGGGACUAUAUACAUAAAGUGCUUUUAUAUCUAAAUUGUAAAACAUACAAUACCUUCAGAAAGUAUUCCCACCCCUUGACCUUUUCCAAUUUUUAUGUUACAGCCUGAAUUUAAAAUAUAUGAAAUUUAGAUUAAAAAUGUUGUCACUAGCCUCCACACAAUACCGCAUAACGUCAAAGUGGAAUUAUGUAAAACAAUAUAUUUUUUUAAGUGUCAAUAAGUAUUCAAUUCCUUUAUGCAAAUCCAAAAUAAGUCGAAUAAUACGUUGCAUGGACUCACUCUGUGUGCAAUAAUAGUGUUUAACAUGAUUUUUAAUGACUACCUCAUCUCUGUACCCCACACAUACAAUUAUCUGUAAAGUCGGUCAGUCGUGAAGUGAAUUUUAAACACAGAUUCAACAACAAAAAAACAGGGAGGUUGUCUAAUGCCUCACAAAGAAGGAAACUUAUUGGUAAAAAGAAAGCAGACAUUGAAUAUCCCUUUGAGCAAGGUAAAGUUAUUAAUUACACAUUGGAUGGUGUAUCAAUAUACCCAGUCACAACAAAGAUACUGGCAUCAUCCCUAACUUAGUUGCCGGAGAGGAAAAAAAACCCACUCAGAGAUUUCACCAUGAGGCCAAAUCAUUAAGGGACUGGGGAG
rnacentral:lncRNA from 1 species